UACGUAGGGUGCAAGCGUUAUCCGGAUUUAUUGGGCGUAAAGGGCUCGUAGGCGGUUCGUCGCGUCCGGUGUGAAAGUCCAUCGCUUAACGGUGGAUCCGCGCCGGGUACGGGCGGGCUUGAGUGCGGUAGGGGAGACUGGAAUUCCCGGUGUAACGGUGGAAUGUGUAGAUAUCGGGAAGAACACCAAUGGCGAAGGCAGGUCUCUGGGCCGUUACUGACGCUGAGGAGCGAAAGCGUGGGGAGCGAACAGGAUUAGAUACCCGGGUAGUCCCUGAGCGGGCUGGCAAGG
rnacentral:rRNA from 1 species